UUUAUUAUGGUUGAAUGUUUAGUUCUGUUUUUAAGGAUAAAUUACUAUUAUAAAUUACAUAAAAAAUUUUGAUCUGUAAUUAUAUACAUAAUGCUCACUUUACAAAUAAACAUAAUUUACACAAAAUUUUUGAGUUGAUUAAAACACUAAUUUAUUGCUUCUAUGCCCAAUAUAAUUUACGCUAAAUUGUCCCAUAUCAAUUACACUAGUGUUAUCUUUUGAAUUUAGAAAUAUAAGUUAUUAAAUGUUGGUGGCUCAUCAUGCAGUGCAUUUGAGAAGGGCAUGCUUUCAAAGGUUAAGACUGCUUUCCUGAUUCCUACAACAACAAAAAAUCAUUAAAAUGCUGGUGGCAAUAUUUUAAAGAGUGCAUCUGAUCAAAAAGAAGGUGAAUGACGUCAACUUUUCGAACAUUCGAUUCUUGGAAAUUAAUAAGUGGAAAAAGAAGUUUACAAAAUUGUAAUUUAUAAAACUCAGCACAAUUAUAUUAUUAAAAAAAUUAAAACGA